CUCCACAACUGCUCCCAGUGUGGCAAGACCUUCACCCUGCCGACCUACCUGGAGAUCCACCUGAGGACGCAUGCAGGCACACGCCUGUCGCCCUAUGAGUGCUCGCAGUGUGAAAAGCCAUUCGCUCGCCUGCGUGACCUGCGGAUGCACCAGAACAAGCUGAACGAUGUGAAGCCCAUUCACUGCCCCUUACUGCGCGAAGGUGUUCAGUCGCACCACGUGCAUCAAGUACCACCGAGGGAAACAUCCGGAAGGGACGCAGCAUGUGUGCUCCCACUGCGGGAAGUUGUUCAACAGCGCGACGCACCUUCGGGACCACCAGAGGAUUCACACUGGGGAGAAGCCGUAUCGGUGCUCGACGUGUGGCGCAGCUUUUACCCGUCCGUCGCAGCUCACCAUCCACGAGAGGACGCACACGGGCGAGAAGCCCUUCAGGUGCUGCCAGUGCGGCCGGACGUUCCGACGCAAGUCGGAGCUGAAGACUCACAAGAACACGCACGUGGGCCCGCUGGCCCCACAGCCCUGCCGCUGUGCGGAGUGCGAUAAGAUUUUCACGCCGGCCACGCGGCUGAACUCUAUGGAGAGGAGGCCUCACAAGUGCCAGCAGUGCGAGAAGACGUUUGUGCGCCUGGCACACCAGAAGCCUCGCAGCUGCAGUCUCACCACCAGAGGGCGCACCAGAAGGCGAGCAGCGCCUACGCGUGCUGCCAAUGCCAAAGAACCUUAUGGGGCGGAAAUCGCACCUCAGGGCGCACAGGACGGACGCGCACGCCGACGCGAAGCACUGCAGCUGCCCUCAGUGUGAGACGAUAUUCACACGCAUCGCUUCCUGUGACACCCACCUGCGAAUGCCUCAAGGGUGUCAGGAGUGCGGUAAGACCUUUAGUCUGCCGUCCCAGCUCAGGAAGCACCUGCGGUCACACAGCGGCGAGAGGCCGUUUCAGUGUUCCGCCUGCGGCAAGGCGUUCUCCUCAUCAAGCACAGGCGCGUGCACACGGGGGGGGGGGGGCGGCCGUACCUGUGCUCGCUGUGCGGACGGGCGCUCGCGUGCCUGUCCAGUUUUGCCAAACACCCGGU
rnacentral:lncRNA from 1 species